CUUGCCACGCCAGGAGUGAACUUGUCCCUCUCAUAAUGAAGACCAGGUUGGAGGAGACGAGCCGAAGAUGGGGGAAGACUUGAGGAGUUUGGGCAAAGUAGCAUACUCAAGCGUGAUCUAUUUUUAUUUACCAACGGAAGAAAUAGUCCUAUUGCAUUCAACUAAGUAAAUAUUUGUUGAGAGAUCAAGAUUUUCCAGACCUGGGAAUAUUAGGAAAAGAAAAGAAAAUGGAAACAACUGGAGUUCUAGUCUUGGAUCAAGAUGGGCGCAAUAUGUUGAAGACAGCUGUGUGGUUUCAUCAGCCUUCAUCCCUGAAUGACCAGAUGGAGCACAGUCAUCUAAUCACCUUAGACCAUUUGCUAGCCUUAGGACUAUUACAUAAGAGAAAAAUAAAAAUAAGCUUUUCUCUUCUCUAUGCUACUACAACUUUAUAACAGCAAAUCAGCCCUUACCAUACCCAUCAGAGUAUCCAGUAUGUGAGGUAGCCUAUUCUUUUCUACUCUUUUUGUUCCACUAGCUAGGUAUAUAUGAUAAUCACCCCAGGGAAAGAUACUAUACUGGAAGGAGAAUUUGCAAAAGUUACUUAACCUCUCUGAGACUCAAGUCUUUAUCUGUUAUAAAAAGAAAAAAGAAAAAAAAAGUCCAUAUACCAUAGUGAAUUUUGUUUUGUCCCCCCCCACCACAGGUAGAUUAUAAAGUAUGUGGUGACAAGAGCUACAGACUUGAAUGCCUUCCCCUCCUCAACCAAUCUCCCAAGCAGCAGUUAUUGUAAAGGUCUUAACAGCCAAGUCCAUAAAACUGUUAGUUAACUCAAGUCCAUUCAAAAUUUUGUUUUAGUCCAGAACCCUGAAUGUCAGACAUUUAGAAAAUAAGAUUUUUAAUUAAGCAUUUAAGCCUGAAAUAAAGUUGACUAGAUCUUGUCAUUAUAAUUUGUAUUAUGUAGAUGUUGAUAUUAUGCCAAAUCUUUGGUGUGUAAAAGCUUAGUUUCUGUCUGUAAGAUGAACUGGGAAGGACAAAAAAAUGUAAUAAAUAUUGAACUAACAUUCUGCCCCACACAAGGCACACUGUAUGAUAUGAUAUGUAGACAAUGACUGCUGAAUAAUAUGUACUCAAUGAUUCUUACUUAUUAAAACAGAAAGAUGUGAGACAACAUGAUAUGUAUAAAGCACCCAAGAGCACCAAAGAGUUCAUUUCUAGUGAUGGUGAUUGUAGCAUUGUGAUGUGUGUGUGUGGAAGGGGACAGAGGGCAAGGGGGAAGGGGUCUCACCACUUGGCAGGAUUAUCUGACCUCAAGUGCAUGGUUAGUACUGUUUCUAAAAUAGAAAAUAAAAAAAAAGGUCCUCUA